GGAUGUGAGGGCGAUCUGGCUGUGACAUCUGUCACCCCAUUGAUCGCCAGGGUUGAUUCGGCUGAUCUGGAUGGCUAGGCGAGUGUCCCCUUCCUCCCUCACCAUUCCAUGUGCGUUGCCCCAAAGCUGCACGCUCGAUCAAAGAGGAUAACCUUCCCUGAAUAGAGGAGGACCAGUCUACAGGGUCAAGGGUAUACGAGUAGCUGCCUUUCCCUGCUAGAACAGGUUCUCAAGGUCCAUUUGAAAUAAAUGUGAGUCUAAAUGCUUUCAAAAUUGUUCGAUACUAACAUAUGAAGUUU
ensembl:misc_RNA 7SK 7SK RNA